CUGCGAAAACUUCGCAAUGGGGGCAACCCCGACGAGGGAAUUCCAAGUGCCAGCACUUUGUGUUGGCUGUUCUCCUGUCUAAAAAACAGGAGGAGUAAGGGGCGGGUAAGACGGGUGCCAGCCGCCGCGGUAAUACCCGCGCCCCUAGUGGUGGUCGAUAUUAUUGAGCCUAAAACGUCCGUAGCCGGUCUUUUAAAUCCUUGGGUAAAUCGGGCAGCUUAACUGUCCGAAGUCCGGGGAGACUGGGAGACUUGGGACCGGGAGAGGUCAGAGGUACUUCUGGGGUAGGGUAAAAUCCUGUAAUCCUGGAAGGACCACCGGUGGCGAAGGCGUCUGACUAGAACGGAUCCGACGGUGAGGACGAAGCCCUGGGGCGCAAACGGGAUUAGAAACCCCUGU
rnacentral:rRNA from 1 species